AGUGAACGCUGGCGGUAGGCCUAACACAUGCAAGUCGAACGGCAGCACAGUAAGAGCUUGCUCUUACGGGUGGCGAGUGGCGGACGGGUGAGGAAUACAUCGGAAUCUACUUUUUCGUGGGGGAUAACGUAGGGAAACUUACGCUAAUACCGCAUACGACCUACGGGUGAAAGCAGGGGAUCUUCGGACCUUGCGCGAUUGAAUGAGCCGAUGUCGGAUUAGCUAGUUGGCGGGGUAAAGGCCCACCAAGGCGACGAUCCGUAGCUGGUCUGAGAGGAUGAUCAGCCCCACUGGAACUGGAAAACGGUCCCAACUCCUAGGGGGGGCAGCGGUGGGGAAUUUUGAAAAAGGGGGGGAAGCCUAAUCCAGCCAUACCGGGUGGGGGAAGAAGGCCUUCGGGUUGUAAAGCCCUUUUGUUGGGAAAAAAAAGCAGCAGGUUAAACCCCCGUUUUUCUGACGGUACCCAAAAAAAAAGCCCCGGCUAACUUCGG
rnacentral:rRNA from 1 species